CUCUCCCACACGCCCACGUUGUCCUCCUUCCGUUGCGAUGCCACCCCGCCCUCCUCCAUCCUUACUUCUCCCUUGAAGAGCUCGCACCACCCCCGCACCGUGCCUCUCGGUCGUGCUCAGUGGGUCGCCAAACGCGGGGAACGUACGUGCCCAUGGCAGUAAGAUAAGCUCCUGCUGUAGCAGAUCUGAUUUUCUUGAUCUUUUACCUAUUCCUGUGAAUCUCCCGUUUCUCUCAUUUGCAGGACCAGUGGAGGAGAAUAACUAACCAACCAGAAAAGCAGCAGGAGCGGCAGCGACAAAAGUUCUUUCACGGCACCUCAGCGGCCAGGAGGAUCAUGAGUUUGUUUUACUCGAUGGAGGAGCACACCGUCCAGAGUAUGCAGGACAAGCAAUGAACUUCGAUUUUAUUUUCCCAUGUUGGCUGCGUAGAAUCGUUUGUGUAAAAUUUCCAGAAAAGACAACGGAUAAUAGACUAUCUUUGGAUGCAGAAAUAUGUAGAAAAGAAAUUCUGAGCUCGAAGAAACCAAUUGGCCUGACCAGAUAGAACUUCAAACUAGGUGAUCUGAAAUUCAUGAAAGUGUUAAGAAGUGGCUUUCGAUGAUUGAAGCUUCCAUGUUCAUUGCCAACCCUACUGGUCCUCCAGAAAUGGUUACAAACCAGACAAGGUCUUCUUGCAUACAACAUGUUUGUCUUAUUUUGCUUCUUCAAUUCUUCUUGAACAAUCAUGUUGAUCGUGAUUUACGUUUUCUAUUAUAGCUCAUAAUUAGGGGUAACAAUAAUAGGUCAGGAUACUAUGACUUUAUGGUGAUAGUGUUUUUCUUUUUCUGCAUUCGAAGGAAUGUAUACAGUGUUGUUAUUCCAUAAGUGCUUGAUUCAUAGGACAUAAAGAGACAAAUUUAGAUAUGGCCAAAGACUGUCAAAGGAGGCGCACGACACUCCAAAUUGUUUGAGUUCAUCUAAUUGCUUAUUGGCUGUAUUUUCUAAAAACAUUUUGCUUCUGCUCAGACAUCGAUUCUGGGGCAAUCAGGUCUGGACAAACUCUAACUCCUGCACUACUGUCAUAUUAACUCUGUUAUUAAAUUUUGUGCUUAUCCUCCUAUAUCUCUGACAAUGCCAAAGAUUGUAUUGUCAUGUCCAUCAGAUACUUGACAUAAUUCCAAUCGCAUGUGUACUUCUUCCUUAAAUGUCUUUUUACGAAGAAGCUCAGGUAAUUAUUGUUCCUGUGAGAACUGUGUAUGCUCUUCUUCUGUAACUAUUUUCAUUCUUACAUUAACAGAAUGGCAUAUACAGUAUAGGUACAUUGAUACAACGACAUUCCUUCCAAUUUAUUUGUAAUUCUUGUUAGGAGAUGUAAUAGCAGUAUUGUUAAACGAUUACCUGAGACUAAUCUAUUCUAGAGAGAAUCUACUGCAUACUAACGAUACAUUUUUCAUCUUCGGCUGUUCCCAUAGCAAUCAUCUCCAUUGUGGACAAUGCUUAGGGUAGUUACAUUCCUAAGUAUUCCUAGAUCAACAAGAUGCUGCAAGAUCCUUCCUUCUGCCAAAUAUAGGUUAUGAACACCUCGACAAUUGGAUGGUAGAGGUCAGAUCGGAGUAUAAUGAAGUUUCUGAAAAGAAGUGGAAUGUAAGCUUCUACCUGUUUGUCAUCAUAAAAUUCCCUUGUACUAACUGUCUUAAGUUAGUCUUGCACCAUAUUCAUUUUCUACAAUGCCUUUUGGCCUUCUCUUUUGAGGCUGGAGAUAGAUUUGAUGUACUAUGUAUCUGCCAUCUCCCAGUAGUCUGCCAACGGGCGUUGUAAUUGGGGCGAUGAUUGGUCCUUUAUAAAUCUAAUUAUUCUAGGUAAAUAGGAUGAAAUAAGGAUCUAUGUCUGUCAUGGUGCCACACAUAAUUUAGCACUGCACUAUCAUUAUUUUCUGUAAGCUACUUCAUCAUUCGUGAUGCACAUACUUGGGUUGAUUUAUCUUGGGCCGAAAAAACCCAUAUUGUUCUAUUAUCGAAGAAUGUUCUAUUUUUAGCUAUACUUAUCGUCAUGUUAGGUAUUUAUAUAGCUCAUCUAGGAUGAAUUCUUUGAUUGAUGAAACUAUGAGAUCAUGCUUCUUGCCUACUAAGUUUUUCUUAUUUCAGUUGUAAAUAGAAAUCACACCAUUUACCAAGGCCUUUCUGUUUCCCAUUUUAUGUCAGAAGUAAUCUAAUUGAUGAUGACGGGAUGACAUGACAGAGUUUCCUGGAAAGACGGCCAUGCAUAUUGGCAUUCCAAGGUCCAAGAUAGGUACCUCCCGUGACUUGAUGAAUUGUUUGCCCGAGAGCUUCCACAUCGAAGACCAGAUAGGGGCGGUGUGCCAGCGGGAGAAGGGUGAACAAAGAGAACUGCGAUGGACGCUCAGAAGAAUCGACCGAAGCAUAUAACAAAAAGGAACGGAAGAAAACAAAAUUGGGAAGUGAUAUUGCAAGGAUGGCGAUUUUCCAGAUUUAGAUUAAUCCGCGUCCAUCAAAAAGACUCAAGCGAAGUUGUGUGUAGCCUUGUAGGGAUGUAUGUGUCAUAACCUGGCCAGUAGCAGAAGAAUCAUGGAUAGUGGAUGUAACAUGUAACUUUUGCUUUUCCUACAACCCGAUUGACUAUGGAUACAUAAUUGGAAUGGAC